rnacentral:misc_RNA from 1 species
CAUUCAGUAGCCCAGCUACUUGUUACACCCUUGUUUUUUUUUGCGUACUUAUCGUUUCCUCGGCGGGCUUGCCUGCCGGUUGGACAACUUUAUAACCUUUUUAAAUCUUCAAUCAGCGUCUGAAUAAUAUACAAUAAUUA